rnacentral:lncRNA from 1 species
GGACGUGUCUUUGGACUCGUGCCGGAAGGGGUUGAGCUUUCCCAGCGUCUUGGAAAAGGACGAGAGGAGGGUGGGCUUCUUGGGUCCCCUGGCGGCGCCGCCCGGCUGCGUCUUCUGGAUGUCGGAGACGUACAUCUUCAUCCGGGAGAGCUCCGACCGCAGGGCCUCGUUCUCCUUGAUCAGCGCCGAGUCGGCCAUUAUCUGGCUCCGCAGGUCGCCGCCUCCGCCUCCGCCUCCGGGGUUGGCGGCGGCGGCGGCGCCGCCGCCGCCGCCGCUCCGCAGGUUGAGCUGGUCGUAAUAGAUGGCGUGGAGCGUGAUCUGCAGGGGCAGCCUCUUGUUCUGCGACGCAUGGAGGCGGGCCUCGUAGGAGAGCUUCAGCGGGUCCAUCACGCUGCACACCUUCUCCCUCUCGAUCUCGUCCAGUCCCGGGUGGGCCU